rnacentral:rRNA from 1 species
CUAGUAAUGGCAGGUCAGCAUACUGCCGUGAAUACGUUCCCGGGCCUUGUACACACCGCCCGUCACACCAUGAGAGUUGGGGAUACCCAAAGCCCGUGAGCCAACUUUUAGAGGCAGCGGUCUAAGGUAGAAUCAAUGAUUGGGGUGAAGUCGUAACAAGGUAGC